GACGAACCGUGCGAACGUUGUUCGGAUUCGCUGGGCUUAAAGGGCGCGUAGGCGGCUUGCCAAGUCAGGGGUGAAAUCUUUCGGCUCAACCGGAAAAGUGCUUCUGAUACUGGCAGGCUGGAGGGAGGUAGGGGCAGAUGGAACUUCCGGUGGAGCGGUGAAAUGCGUAGAUAUCGGAAGGAACGCCGGUGGCGAAAGCGAUCUGCUGGAUCUCUUCUGACGCUGAUGCGCGAAAGCCAGGGGAGCAAACGGG
rnacentral:rRNA from 1 species